rnacentral:rRNA from 1 species
CACGCAGGCGGUUUGUUAAGUCAAAUGUGAAAUCCCCGAGCUUAACUUGGGAAUUGCAUUCGAUACUGGUUGGCCAGAGUAUGGGAGAGGAUGGUAGAAUUCCAGGUGUAGCGGUGAAAUGCGUAGAGAUCUGGAGGAAUACCGAUGGCGGAGGCAGCCAUCUGGCCUAAUACUGACACUGAGGUGCGAAAGCAUGGGGAGCAAACAGGAUUAGAUACCCUCGUA